rnacentral:rRNA from 1 species
GGAAUCUUCCGCAAUGGACGAAAGUCUGACGGAGCAACGCCGCGUGAGUGAUGAAGGCUUUCGGGUCGUAAAACUCUGUUGUUAGGGAAGAACAAGUGCUAGUUGAAUAAGCUGGCACCUUGACGGUACCUAACCAGAAAGCCACGGCUAACUACGUGCCAGCAGCCGCGGUAAUACGUAGGUGGCAAGCGUUAUCCGGAAUUAUUGGGCGUAAAGCGCGCGCAGGUGGUUUCUUAAGUCUGAUGUGAAAGCCCACGGCUCAACCGUGGAGGGUCAUUGGAAACUGGGAGACUUGAGUGCAGAAGAGGAAAGUGGAAUUCCAUGUGUAGCGGUGAAAUGCGUAGAGAUAUGGAGGAACACCAGUGGCGAAGGCGACUUUCUGGUCUGUAACUGACACUGAGGCGCGAAAGCGUGGGGAGCAAACAGGAUUAGAUACCCUGGUAGUCCACGCCGUAAACGAUGAGUGCUAAGUGUUAGAGGGUUUCCGCCCUUUAGUGCUGAAGUUAACGCAUAAGCACUCCGCCCUGGGAUUCGCGCCGCUCGUUUUUUUUCUUUUACCC